CUAAAAUUGGGUUUAUAUGUCCUUCCAUUUCAGGAGAGAGGAGCUGGGGGCAUGUGUUGCAAUGAGCAGCUACAGACUGGAGCCUGAUAUUGAAAUGGGAAUUUCACGAGACUGAAACAAUAUUGCACUGUCACGAGAGGGAGUGCAGUAGGAACAUCACUGGUUGAGAAUGCUGAGUCCAGAAAAUUUUGGCUUUCAUGCUCACACCUCAGACACACCACAAGGAAGAAACCUGGCUUGUUCUUCAAUUAUCAACAAUUCAUCAUCAAUUGCAGCAGGAUGGGC